UCACAGGUUAAUGGAGCCCUCAGAAGCAGUGAGUCUGCAGGGAGGCCAGGGCAGAUAACCCAACAGGAGGAAAUGUUCACUUCAACAAAAGGAGUCCUUGCAUGUAUGAACCUGGGAACUUUGGAUGCUAUGGACAAAGCCUGAGAUGAAGAAGAAAAAUGAGCUCAAAACCAAUGCAAAUUGCCUAGAAGGAUGAAAUUCUGCUCGUGACGAACUGUCAAGAAUAUCUGCCUGUUCCCUGCAACCUGGGAAACUGAAGAGACAUACUUUGGCAAGAGGCCUUGAGGAAGAGGAUUGCAAGUCAUGUUAAUCACCUUAGAAAAACAUCUGAGCCUUAUCUACUACUGUCCACACAGCACAGUCAUUGGUAUUGACCGACACUGGAAUCUUCAAAGCCCAAAAUGAGCAACAGCUUCCAGACCUUUAUGACUUGCAUUAUUUUUAGCCGCUUACACAGUCCUCAUGAUUGAUCUGCCUGGAGUGGCUCUGCUGCAAGCCCCGAGGGAGGGGAGAGGAAGGGGCUCAUGGAGACACACAUUUCCACGGGUGAUAAGCGCGCACGUGUUUUGAACCGUAAAAUGGCAGCUCGUUGUGAAAUCCUGCCGGAGCAUAUCUUUUAAAUGCCAGACAAGCCCAGCAUCAGCAGCACAUAAAGAAAUAUUUGAAAGGGCCCUGGCGGGAAGCCAAGAGAACGUGGCUAAUGUUUCACCUGACCUCACCCCCUCGC